rnacentral:lncRNA from 1 species
AGUGGCAAGAGAAGUGUCUCGGUGGGACAGAGCAAAGCUUGUUCAUGGGAGAAAUUUAAGCUUUAGGUACAUUUAUCAUUGAUACAAGGAAAGACUAAAAACAUAGGAAUGAAUUUAGAACCAGAAGAAGGUAUUUUAAAAAAAACCCAGGAGAAAAGGAAAAUGAUAGAGGAAAAAAGAUAAAAAAAAAAAAGAACCCCAAAGAGUAGAAAGUAUUCGCAGGCUUUAGAGAUGGUUCUUUAAAAAGACCAACACAACAGAUAAAUCUCUCACAAACCUGAUUAAGAAAUAAAGGGAGGAAAAGAGACAUGAUGGACAAUGAGAAAAGAGACAUAAUAAAACAAUUGGAAGAGAUUUAAUUUUUUUUUUUUAACAGAAGGUUGUGAGUAACUUGAUGGCAAUAAAGUAGAAGACCUGGAGAAAGAGAGACGGCGUCUUGGAAAAAAGGCACAGAGAAGGCUCAUUGGAGGUGGCACCCAGAGAGGAAGUGGGUGACAGCGAGUGACAUCCAGGUCCUGGGAGAGGCUAGGGCAUCGCUGCCGUUCGUUCGCUGGCCACGGAGUCGGGGAGUGAGACACGGCGGCGGCGGAAAGCUGGAAGCGCCAGGGUGUGGCUGAGGGUGCCCUGGGCUGUGGGCCUCGCCCUCCUGGCCUGUCUGUGAAGAGAGUGGGUGCUGGCCCCCUCGCCAGAGGAUGGAGCCGGGUCAAAUGAGGGUUCUCAUUUUCCAGGAGGGGAGCUGGGGCCCGAGCCCUCCUGGCUGGUGUUAUUUUAGGGACUGGGAUGAA